rnacentral:lncRNA from 1 species
UCACAUAACCAAGAAGAGAGACCGAUGAAAAUACAGUACAAGAAAAUGCAGGUACGAGGAAGCAUUCUUGGAAGAAAAAAUAAUAAUUACUAUUUACAGCUGUUUUGUUUAGGCUCUAUUAUUGUUUCUUUCUGUAAAAGAGACUCUAAAAGAAAGGAGAUUUCUUUCUUCUUGAAUGCUCAGAAGUUUGUUUAUAUAAUAAUAACAAGACUGCGUAUAAUAAUGAUGUUAUUAGUGAAUAAUUUAAGGAAUAAACAAAAAUGAAUUAGCUUUGUUUGUAGGGUUUUCGGAGAUAAUUUUUUUCUUUUUUGAGUUUAUUUCAACAUGAAGAAAGGAAGAACUUGGAGCGGUGGCACUGAUGGGGACAUGGGAAGUGUGUGCGCGAAAAAGAGAGGGUUCUCUCUCUGGUUACAUCUCCUUUGCAGCCUUCCUCAUCUUCUUCGCAUUCCUACCUUGCUGGUUAGUUAUUCUAAUCCUAGCCUGUUUGGUUUGCUUAGAAGAGCUACUUAUUUACUUUUAAGUUACUUAUUUUGUAAAACAUAAUUUUAAAAGGUAACAUUUAAAAUUUUAAACACUGUGUUCCAAGAAAUGGAUAAAAAAGAGAAGGAAAAGACGGGAUUCUGGAGAGCGGAAGAGACAUUAGGAAAUGGUGAAGAAAAGAGGAAAAACCGAAAAAGGUAGAUUUUAGAGGAAGAUGACUCG